rnacentral:lncRNA from 1 species
CCGCCUCAGGCUCUCCGCUUCGCGUCCAGCCGCCGUGGUGGCGUCUGGGAACUGAAGAUGCAGAAAUGGAGGUUCAGAAAGUCAAAAUGGGGGUCACGUAGCAGGCACUGGGGAAACUCUUUUUCUCCUUACUCCUGGAGAUUCUGAUUUCACUGUGCGACCUGAUGGGGAGUUGCCAGGAGAAGGACUGCGUCGGCCUUUGGAAGCUGGUGAAGCCGCACUUGCCUGGACCUCUCCUGGAGACUCAGCUGCUAAGUGAUUCAUUUCAGAUCCAUCUCCUUUAACUGGGAUUGGUUUUACCACCUGAAUCAAAGUAUUCCAAUAUUUUGAUUACUUAAAAAUAUAAAAGGAAUACCCUUUGCCAUCUCAAUAUGGCUUCAAUGAAGAAUUUCCUACCACCAUUCUAUGGCAGUUAGCU